GCGCUACUCCCUCCGUCCAAAAAUACUUGUCAUCAAAAUGAAUAAAAAAAGAUGUAUCUAGAACUAAAAUAUGUCUAGAUACAUCCCCUUUUAUUCAUUUUGAUGACAAGUAUUUUCGGACGGAGGGAGUAUUAA
rnacentral:pre_miRNA from 1 species